GCGGAGGUGGCCCAGCCCGGAUUAAGGCGCCGGUCUUGAAAACCGGUGGCACAAGCCUCGGGGGUUCGAAUCCCUCCCUCCGCGCCA
rnacentral:tRNA from 1 species